rnacentral:snRNA from 1 species
UAUGGGAAGAGUUCCUGCAGUAG